GUCUAUGUUCAUUUUGUUUUAUGUGGCUAUCCACGUGUUCCAGCACCAGUUUUUAAAAACGCUUUCUUUUCCCACAGAACUGCCCUAGCAUCAUUGUCAAAACCCAAUUGACUAGGUUCUAUCAUCAGGGAAAUUUUAGAAUCAACUUGUCAAUUUCUGGAAAAAAGCCAAUGAAAACUUAUUUGACCAUGAUUUCAUUGAAUCUCUAGGGUUACAUGGAGAUUGGAUAGACAAUGAACUACAACAAGAAGAAAAUCUAAGAGACCAACAACUCUUUAUGGAAAAUUUAACUCUGUGGCUACGGUAUUUCUGAUGCUCUCACCUUGGCAAAAUGUUAGAAGUCUCUUGUAGAAGAAAACAGAGUUGAGAGGUUGUGUGUGCCUCAAAGACACUGACUUGGAUGUUCAAAAAACUCUUUUAUUUCUUUCUUUAUUUGUAUUGAGGUUGGAGAGGGACAUAACCCUUUAGGUGAGAAAGUAAAGGGGCACCUGGGUGGCUCAGCAGUUGAGCAUCUGCCUUUGGCUCAGGUUGUGAUCUUGGGAUCCUGGGAUUGAGUCCCAUAUCAGGCUCCCCAGAGGGAGCCUGCCUCUCCCUCU